AGCCCACUGGUCAGAGGACAGGAGUGUGUGGAGAGCUGUCCCCCUCCCUGUGCAGACAGUGUGGUGCCUUCAGAUGAGCUGUUUUGUUUCAUGCAGAGCUGAGCUCACCUGGGAGAUGACCUUGUGACAAGAAUACCAAGCUGAGUCCAGAUCAGCAAAGAGAGGACAGGAAGAGGAAGAGGAAGAGAAGCAGAGGCAGCCAUGCGAAGCAGUGACUGGCAGAAACCGAGUCAGAACGGCUGGUUAACAUCAUUUUUAAGCCUCAUCAGAGUCGCCCAGGUUUUGUUCUUUGGAUGGCAUAUCUAUGGCAGCUCUCUUCAAAGUAUAUAUGCAUUCUACAUAUGGAGUUCCUAGUCAGUGGCGUAAGUCAACUGAUACUAACUGAACAUUAGCCUCUUGCGAAAUCACAAUACAAAACAUGGUGCUGGACACCGUAGGGGAUCCCAGGAAGCCAUAAUCCUUACCCACAAGGAACUAACAGUUGAAUUACGGAAAU
rnacentral:lncRNA from 1 species